GAUGAACGCUAGCGGCAGGCUUAAUACAUGCAAGUCGAGGGGCAGCACGGUUAGCAAUAACUGGUGGCGACCGGCGCACGGGUGCGUAACACGUAUACAAUCUACCUUAAACAGGGGGAUAGCCUUUCGAAAGAGAGAUUAAUACCCCGUAAUAAAUUGAACGGCAUCGUUUGAUUUUGAAAGCUCCGGCGGUUUGAGAUGAGUAUGCGUCUGAUUAGCUAGUUGGUGAGGUAACGGCUCACCAAGGCGACGAUCAGUAGGGGAUCAGAGAGGACUAACCCCCACACUGGUACUGAGACACGGACCAGACUCCUACGGGAGGCAGCAGUAAGGAAUAUUGGUCAAUGGAGGCAACUCUGAACCAGCCAUGCCGCGUGCAGGAUGACGGCCCUAUGGGGUUGUAAACUGCUUUUAUACAAGAGAAAACCCUGGUACGUGUACCAGGUUGAUAGUAUUGUAAGAAUAAGCAUCGGCUAACUUCGUGCCAGCAGCCGCGGUAA
rnacentral:rRNA from 1 species